AGGUAGUGAGGUACAAAGGCCAACCAUUCUCUUAGAAAAAUAAGGCUAUCUCAGAUGAAGAUGAUUUCUUCCCUUCCAAAAUUUAUAUUUGUAUCC